GAUCCUGGCUCAGGACGAACGCUGGCGGCGUGCUUAACACAUGCAAGUCGAACGAGAAUCUGCGGAUCGAGGAUUCGUCCAAGUGAAGCAGAGGACAGUGGCGGACGGGUGAGUAACGCGUGAGGAACCUGCCUUUCAGAGGGGGACAACAGUUGGAAACGACUGCUAAUACCGCAUGAUACGUUUUAGGGGUCGAUCCCUCGAGACGUCAAAGAUUUAUCGCUGAAAGAUGGCCUCGCG
rnacentral:rRNA from 1 species